AGAACUUCAAAUAACAACGUAGUUUCCAUCUGAUGACAUGGAACCUCAGUUAGAGAUGAGCUUUCACCAUAUUGGCCAGCCUGGUCUCAAACUCCUGACCUCAAGUGAUCCACCUACCUCAGCCUCUCAAACUGCUGGAAUUACAGCUUCUGCAGAAGCCUGCCUAAUCUUUAGAAACCUACGAUGCAG